UACGUAGGGGGCAAGCGUUGUCCGGAUUUAUUGGGCGUAAAGAGCGUGUAGGCGGCCAGACAGGUCCGCUGUGAAAACUCGAGGCUCAACCUCGAGAUGUCGGUGGAAACCGUCUGGCUAGAGUCCGGAAGAGGAGAGUGGAAUUCCCGGUGUAGCGGUGAAAUGCGCAGAUAUCGGGAAGAACACCCGUGGCGAAGGCGGCUCUGGGCCACUACUGACGCUGAGAAGCGAAAGCAUGGGGAGCGAACAGG
rnacentral:rRNA from 1 species